rnacentral:misc_RNA from 1 species
CAGAGUUACAAAACUCCCAAACCCUUGUGAACCUACCUGUACGUCGUUGCUUCGGCGGGUAGCCCCACACCGGGGCCGUGCCUCCUAGCGAGGUGCCCGCCGGAGGACCACUUUAAAACUCUUGCAAUUUGUGGCCUCUCUGAGUAUUAUAUAAAUAAGUCA